CCCCCAGCCUGUCUUCUCGGUCUCCCUUCCUCGUACCCCUCCUCAUUUCGUGUGUUUCCCCCUGCGCUUUCUCUUCCCUUCUUUCCUCCUGGCUCCCCUCUCCUGCUGGCUUCCAUCCCUUCUCUCCCCACCCCUUCAAUCUCUCUCCCUCUUUCCUCUCUCUCCUCUCUGAAUCUGCUGCUUCUCUCUCUCUCCCCUCCCAGGCUUCUCCCCUCGCACUGGCCUCCUUUCCUCUGAGCCUUGUCUCCGGGGAGGCCCCUCCACGCCCAGCCCCCCGGCAGGGGCCCUGAGCUCCUCUCCCGUCUCCCUGCCUGAAGUCUUGAGCUGACAUCCACCUGGGGAUCUGUGCCGCGUUCGUGGCAAGAGGCUGGACGGCCCGAAGCAGGGCUGCGAAGCCUGCGGCCCCCCGAGGUGCAAGGGCGUGUGUGACACCCUUUUUCUCUCUCUUUUCUGUCUGUCCUGGACCCUGGACACUGCCCGGAGGAGGGAGGCCUGCCCCUGGCCCAGGAAGGAGGAAACGAGGAGCUGGCCAGAGACCGGGAGUGAGCUGCCUGGAGACCACAGCAUGUAAGUGGCAGGGCAGGGACGGGCUGGGCCACCCUGCUCCUUCCCCACUCUGCUGAUCCCUGGUGGGCUUGGUGAGCAUGGUGGGAAGGAGGCUGCCUCCUUUCUGCCCCGUUCCCCUCCCCAACCCCCCACAAUCCUCUCUUCCUCAGGCGACAUGGAGCGUGGGAGGACCUCACCCGACUCCCAUUUCACGGAUGAGAACACAGGCACCGGAGUUCCCGGAGAUCAGCAUCUGCUAGGACAGAGGCUUCGUGGGGACCCCGGCCUUCCCAAAGGGCCAACAGCACCCCCUGCAGGGCACUUCUCUUCGCGGAGAGGGGCCAUGUGGGCCUGACCUCCCCAGAGUAUCCGGCGGAGUAUCCUAUGGGCCUGGGAGGUACUCUCUGGCGGCGCGAAACCUUUUAUCGCCGCCUACUGAUAAAGGACGGAACUGCAACCCGGCUGGAUUAGGCACCGUGAAUGGCCGCGAAAAACACAAAAACAAAAAAACCCUGCAGGGACUGGAAUGCUUGGGGGGGGGUGGGGGGGGGAGGAGAGCUGUUGGUGGGGGGAGGGGAGACGGGAAAUUUGCAAAAUUCUGUAAAAAUGUGAAAAUUUUUACUCCUGGUCAAUAUGUAAACAUCAUACCCAGCAAGCUCUUUGGUUUUCAACUGAAACCUGCACCCUUCACGUUUUCAAGUCAUUCCAUGGGUGGGUUCUUUCCACGUUGCCAUGGAAAGAAAUACAAGCAUGACUCUUCCCGGAGAAACAAAGGAAAGUUGCUUGGCGGC
rnacentral:lncRNA from 1 species